CACGAGUGGCGGGUGCUAUAAUGCAAGUCGAGCGGACAGAAGGGAGCUUGCUCCCGGAUGUUAGCGGCGGACGGGUGAGUAACACGUGGGUAACCUGCCUGUAAGACUGGGAUAACUCCGGGAAACCGGAGCUAAUACCGGAUAGUUCCUUGAACCGCAUGGUUCAAGGAUGAAAGACGGUUUCGGCUGUCACUUACAGAUGGACCCGCGGCGCAUUAGCUAGUUGGUGAGGUAACGGCUCACCAAGGCGACGAUGCGUAGCCGACCUGAGAGGGUGAUCGGCCACACUGGGACUGAGACACGGCCCAGACUCCUACGGGAGGCAGCAGUAGGGAAUCUUCCGCAAUGGACGAAAGUCUGACGGAGCAACGCCGCGUGAGUGAUGAAGGUUUUCGGAUCGUAAAGCUCUGUUGUUAGGGAAGAACAAGUGCAAGAGUAACUGCUUGCACCUUGACGGUACCUAACCAGAAAGCCACGGCUAACUACGUGCCAGCAGCCGCGGUAAUACGUAGGUGGCAAGCGUUGUCCGGAAUUAUUGGGCGUAAAGGGCUCGCAGGCGGUUUCUUAAGUCUGAUGUGAAAGCCCCCGGCUCAACCGGGGAGGGUCAUUGGAAACUGGGAAACUUGAGUGCAGAAGAGGAGAGUGGAAUUCCACGUGUAGCGGUGAAAUGCGUAGAGAUGUGGAGGAACACCAGUGGCGAAGGCGACUCUCUGGUCUGUAACUGACGCUGAGGAGCGAAAAGCGUGGGGAGCGAACAGGAUUAGAUACCCUGGUAGUCCCACCCCGUAAAACGAUGAGUGCUAAGUGUUAGGGGGUUUCCGCCCCCUAGUGUUGCAGCCUAAUGCAUAUAAUU
rnacentral:rRNA from 1 species